GUGCCUUCGGGAACUCUGAGACAGGUGCUGCAUGGCUGUCGUCAGCUCGUGUUGUGAAAUGUUGGGUUAAGUCCCGCAACGAGCGCAACCCUUAUCCUUUGUUGCCAGCGACUCGGUCGGGAACUCAAAGGAGACUGCCGGUGAUAAACCGGAGGAAGGUGGGGAUGACGUCAAGUCAUCAUGGCCCUUACGAGUAGGGCUACACACGUGCUACAAUGGCGUAUACAAAGAGAAGCGACCUCGCGAGAGCAAGCGGAACUCAUAAAGUACGUCGUAGUCCGGAUUGGAGUCUGCAACUCGACUCCAUGAAGUCGGAAUCGCUAGUAAUCGUAGAUCAGAAUGCUACGGUGAAUACGUUCCCGGGCCUUGUACACACCGCCCGUCACACCAUGGGAGUGGGUUGCAAAAGAAGUAGGUAGCUUAACCUUCGGGAGGGCGCUUACCACUUUGUGAUUCAUGACUGGGGUGAAGUCGUAACAAGGUAACCGUAGGGGAACCUGCGGUUGGAUCACCUCCUUA
rnacentral:rRNA from 1 species